CCUACGGGUGGCAGCAGUGAGGAAUAUUGGUCAAUGGGCGCGAGCCUGAACCAGCCAAGUAGCGUGAAGGAUGACUGCCCUACGGGUUGUAAACUUCUUUUAUAAAGGAAUAAAGUGAGGCACGUGUGCCUUUUUGUAUGUACUUUAUGAAUAAGGAUGGGCGAACUCCGUUCCAGCAUCCGCGGUAAUACGGAGGAUCCGAGCGUUAUCCGGUUUUAUUGGUUUUAAGGGGGAGUAGAUGGGUUGUUAAGUCAGUUGUGAAAGUUUGCGGCUCAACCGUAAAAUUGCAAUGGAUACUGGCAGUCUUGAGUACAGUUGAGGUAGGCGGAAUUCGUGGUGUAGCGGUGAAAUGCUUAGAUAUCACGAAGAACUCCGAUUGCGAAGGCAGCUUACUAAACUGCCACUGACAUUGAUGCUCGAAAGUGUGGGUAUCAAACAGGAGUAGAUACCCCUGUAUC
rnacentral:rRNA from 1 species